rnacentral:piRNA from 1 species
GUGGUUUCUAAACGCGUGACUACUGAA